UGGGUCAUCAUCUAGGUCAGGGCUUAAACUUCUGGUUUUCAUCCUCUCCUAAUCAGGGACUGAUUCAGACCUGGGACACCUGGUGCUUUGAUCCCUGUGGUGCGUCUCUCUCAAAGGGAAUGACUAAGUCUUUAAUAACUCUCCCUGCCUCAAUGAGAGACUGACACAGAGAGAGAUUGACAGAAAUCAGAGGGACUCAAUCUGAAUCUAAUGAUGCCUGUCAAGCAGAGCAGCCACAGGGUCUCUGGGAUAUGUGGAUGCGGUGGGGCUAAAGCAGGAAGUGAGCCUUGGCCUGGUGCUGUGUGAGAAUGUGUUUUCCUGCGACUGAGUGAUUCUCACUGUUUCACAGCUUCUGUACUUUUGACAAAGUUUCUCAUGUGAGUUGAAUUUUACAAUGACAACCAAUAAACCAAGUAUUGCGCUAUGUAUGGUCUUGUGUGUUUAUGUGAGGAGUGGAGGAGUUAUUUGUAGCCG
rnacentral:lncRNA from 1 species